rnacentral:rRNA from 1 species
UACAGAGGUCUCAAGCGUUGUUCGGAUUCAUUGGGCGUAAAGGGUGCGUAGGCGGCGCGGUAAGUCGGGCGUGAAAUCUCGGAGCUUAACUCCGAAACUGCAUUCGAUACUGCCGUGCUUGAGGACUGGAGAGGAGACUGGAAUUUACGGUGUAGCGGUGAAAUGCGUAGAUAUCGUAAGGAAGACCAGUGGCGAAGGCGGGUCUCUGGACAGUUCCUGACGCUGAGGCACGAAUGUCAGGGGAGCAAACGGG